rnacentral:rRNA from 1 species
UACGUAGGCAGCAAGCGUUGUUCGGAAUUACUGGGCGUAAAGAGUGUGUAGGCGGUGCUCUAAGUUCGGUGUGAAAUCUCCUGGCUUAACUGGGAGGGUGCGCCGGAAACUGGAGUGCUCGAGCGUGGGAGAGGAAAGCGGAAUUCCUGGUGUAGCGGUGAAAUGCGUAGAUAUCAGGAGGAACACCUGCGGUGUAGACGGCUUUCUGGACCAUAGCUGACGCUGAGACACGAAAGCGUGGGUAGCAAACAGG